AGGCCUUUGGGCUGUAAACCUCUUUUCUCAAGGAAGAAGACCUGACGGUACUUGAGGAAUAAGCCACGGCUAAUUCCGUGCCAGCAGCCGCGGUAAUACGGGAGUGGCAAGCGUUAUCCGGAAUUAUUGGGCGUAAAGCGUCCGCAGGCGGCCGUUUAAGUCUGUUGUUAAAUCGUGGAGCUCAACUCCAUCACGGCAAUGGAAACUGUUCGGCUUGAGUAUGGUAGGGGCAGAGGGAAUUUCCGGUGUAGCGGUGAAAUGCGUAGAUAUCGGGAAGAACACCAGUGGCGAAAGCGCUCUGCUGGACCAUUACUGACGCUCAUGGACGAAAGCCAGGGGAGCGAAAGGGAUUAGAUACCCCUGUAGUCCUGGCCGUAAACGAUGAACACUAGAUGUUGGGGGAAUCGACCCCCUCGGUGUCGUAGCUAACGCGUUAAGUGUUCCGCCUGGGGAGUACGCACGCAAGUGUGAAACUCAAAGGAAUUGACGGGGGCCCGCACAAGCGGUGGAGUAUGUGGUUUAAUUCGAUGCAACGCGAAGAACCUUACCAAGGCUUGACAUCCUGCGAAUCUCCGAGAAAUUGGAGAGUGCCUUCGGGAACGCAGUGACAGGUGGUGCAUGGCUGUCGUCAGCUCGUGUCGUGAGAUGUUGGGUUAAGUCCCGCAACGAGCGCAACCCACGUUUUUAGUUGCCAGCAUUCAGUUGGGCACUCUAGAAAGACUGCCGGUGACAAACCGGAGGAAGGUGUGGACGACGUCAAGUCAUCAUGCCCCUUACGCCUUGGGCUACACACGUACUACAAUGCUGCGGACAAAGAGUAGUGAUCUUGCGAAAGUUAGCUAAUCUCGUAAACCGUGGCUCAGUUCAGAUCGUAGGCUGCAACUCGCCUACGUGAAGGAGGAAUCGCUAGUAAUCGCAGGUCAGCAUACUGCGGUGAAUACGUUCCCC
rnacentral:rRNA from 1 species